CCCUUAGAAGUCCUGGGCCGCACGCGCGUUACACUGAUGCAUUCAACGAGCUUAUAACCUUGGCCGAGAGGCCUGGGCAAUCUUGUUAACGUGCAUCGUGAUAGGGAUAGAUUAUUGAAAUUAUUAAUCUUGAACGAGGAAUUCCUAGUAAACGCAGAUCAUCAAUCUGCAUUGAUUACGUCCCUGCCCUUUGUACACACCGCCCGUCGCACCUACCGAUUGGAUGGUCCGGUGAAGCCUCGGGAUUGUGGUUCUUGCCGCUUUAUUGUGGCGUGACCGCGAGAACUUGUCUAAACCUUAUCAUCUAGAGGAAGGUGAAGUCGUAACA
rnacentral:rRNA from 1 species